CAGUCGCCGCGGUAAUACGAAGGGGGCUAGCGUUGUUCGGAAUCACUGGGCGUAAAGGGUGCGUAGGCGGAUUCUUAAGUCAGGGGUGAAAUCCCAAGGCUCAACCUUGGAACUGCCUUUGAUACUGUUUGUCUUGAGUUCGAGAGAGGUAAGUGGAACUGCGAGUGUAGAGGUGAAAUUCGUAGAUAUUCGCAAGAACACCAGUGGCGAAGGCGACUCUCUGGUCUGUAACUGACGCUGAGGAGCGAAAGCGUGGGGAGCGAACAGGAUUAGAUACCCGAGUAGUCCCUGUCUCUUAUAC
rnacentral:rRNA from 1 species